UGUCGGAAUAUCUGCUAAAAUUCCGCAUUUUUCCGUCCCGGGACACUCGGGGCGUAUGUUCAAUUUGUCGGAAUGGAGUUUUAGGGAUAUGGGCUUGAAAAA
rnacentral:sRNA from 16 species